rnacentral:rRNA from 1 species
UGGGCUUGACAUGUCGGUUAAGGCGUGGAGACACGCUGACCUUCGGGUCCGACAC